rnacentral:rRNA from 1 species
GUUUGAUAGCAAUAUUGAACCUAGAGUGUCGUAAGGGUGCGUAACACGUAUGCAAUCUGCCCUGUACAGGAGGAUAGCUCCCCGAAAGGGGAAUUAACACUCCAUAAGAUGAGAGAGUGGCAUCACUUUUUUAUUAAAACUGAGGUGGUACAGGAUGAGCAUGCGCAUGAUUAGUUAGUUGGCGGGGUAAAGGCCCACCAAGACGAUGAUCAUUAGGGGAACUGAGAGGUUGAUCCCCCACACUGGCACUGAGAUACGGGCCAGACUCCUACGGGAGGCAGCAGUAGGGAAUAUUGGACAAUGGGUGAGAGCCUGAUCCAGCCAUGCCGCGUGCAGGAAGAAAGCCUUCUGGG